AAGUUGAACAACAGGAAUUAUUUGGCUUGGCUGUGUCCCCACAUAAAUCUCAUCUUGAAUUGUAAAUCCCACAAUUCCUACAUGUGGUGGGAGGAAACCCAGUGGGAGGUGAUUGAAUUAUGGGGUGGGUCUUUCCUGCACUGUUCUCAUGAUAGUGAAUGAGUCUCACAAGAUCUGAUGGUUUUAAAAACAGUAGU